AUGAGGGAGACGACAUCACGGGGGGUCAACGGUGUGGCUGGUUUGGCCGUUUGCUGCUUGAUCCCAUCGCUUGGGGUGCAGCGGGUCCGGAUCCGACGCCAGGGAGGCGCGGGGGUCAUGGGGGGUGCACCGGGGGUGGUCGGUCAAGGGUGGAGCGCUUUAGCAGGGAAGAUGGCUGCGGGCAGUGCUAAUGUAGGCAUGCCGGCCCGGAUCCGUCACUGGGAGGCGCGCUGUGGGCGGUUCCCGGCCCGGAUCUGUCGACGGGAGUCCACAACCAGCACUGGGAGGGGCGGUGGCGGCCGGAUCCGGCCGUUAAGGCCACGCAGGGGAUCAGUUGUCGCCUGA
rnacentral:rRNA from 1 species